rnacentral:rRNA from 1 species
GGGGAAUAUUGCGCAAUGGGGGAAACCCUGACGCAGCGACGCCGCGUGAGCGAAGAAGGCCUUCGGGGUGUAAAGCUCUGUUCUAAGGGACGAAGGAGUGACGGUACCUUUGGAGGAAGCGCCGGCCAACUACGUGCCAGCAGCCGCGGUAAGACGUAGGGGGCGAGCGUUGUCCGGAAUCAUUGGGCGUAAAGGGCGCGUAGGCGGUGACGUAAGUCAGGCGUGAAAGGCAUCGGCUCAACCGACGCACAUAGCCUGAUACUACGUUGCUACAGUGCAGGAGAGGAGAGUGGAAUUCCAGGUGUAGCGGUGAAAUGCGUAGAUAUCUGGAAGAACACCAGUGGCGAAGGCGGCUCUCUGGACUGUAACUGACGCUGAGGCGCGAAAGCUGGGGGAGCAAACA